UAUAUAUCUCAUACUGCUUUAUGGGAGGGUUGAGUUGAGAGCUCAACAAUGGCAGAAAAUGAGUCGUUAUUAGUGAGCAACAACGGCAGGGAAGUGGUGCUAGCUGAGCGAAAAAGUGAAGCAACUGAAAGGAAAACUACCAUACCUUCUUCUCGUGUUGUUUCUCUCGAUGUCUUUCGAGGCCUCUGCGUUUUUAUAGUUUUAGACAUAACUGGGGCAACCUUGAAAGUGUGAUUAGGACCUUGAAACUUUUUAUCCUUGGGAUUUCCCUUCAAGGGGAUUACUUGCAUGGAACUCUGGUUUAACCUAUGGUGUAGAUAUUGAAAGAAUAAGAUGGAUGGGAAUUUUGCUGGUAACUCUGAUAUUAUUUGUUUUGCUUUUUGCUACCCUGGUAUGAGAUGACUAGAUUAGCUACAAGAUUAGUGUCAUUUCAUACUAGCACUGCCAGUUGAGAUGAGUGUCGUCGCAUUGCCUCCUACAACUUCUUUUGCUUUGUAUCUAUGUUUCUUAUCCUUCCUAAGUGGUCCGUAAGUCUUCGGUCUUCCUUACUUAGACUUCAAAAGAUUGCUUUCGCUUGUGCCCCUUGGCCCUCUGCUUGCUGUGAAGUAUUGCUCUUGUUGUUCUUUUUAGUUUUGGUGAAAGUGCCUAUAUGGAUUAACUUCCUAUUUAGCUAUUUCUGUGAUAGAUGCUGAUUCUUCAAUAGUAGCAUCUAACAUGGUUUCCCUGAUUAUUAUAAGAAAUUUUCAUUUUCUUAUUAGAAGGUUCACUAGUACCUAGGUCAAUAGAUAGGUGCAAGUGAAGAACUUAUGCAUGUAACCUGUUCAUUUAAAUUACUUGUUCAAAAUAUUGUACAUUUCUUUUCAUUUAUACAGA